rnacentral:rRNA from 1 species
AUUGAACGCUGGCGGUAUGCUUAACACAUGCAAGUUGAACGUGAAGCCACUUCGGUGGUGGAAAGUAGCGCACGGGUGAGUAACACGUGGGAAUUUACACUUCAGUAAGGAACAACAGUUGGAAGCGACUGCUAAUACCUUAUAAUGACUCCGGUCCAAAGAUUUAUCGCUGAAGGAUAAGCCCGCGUCUGAUUAGCUAGUUGGUGAGGUAAAGGCUCACCAAGGCGACGAUCAGUAGGGGGUUUGAGAGGAUGAUCCCCCACACUGGAACUGAGACACGGUCCAGACUCCUACGGGAGGCAGCAGUGAGGAAUAUUGGACAAUGGGCGAAAGCCUGAUCCAGCCAUGCCGCGUGAGUGAAGAAGGCCCUAGGGUUGUAAAGCUCUUUCAAUUGUGAAGAUAAUGACGGUAGCAAUAGAAGAAGCUCCGGCUAACUCAGUG